rnacentral:rRNA from 1 species
GUUGACCUCGGAUCAGGUAGGACUACCCGCUGAACUUAAGCAUAUCAAUAAGCGGAGGAAAAGAAACCAACAGGGAUUGCCCCAGUAACGGCGAGUGAAGCGGCAACAGCUCAAAUUUGAAAUCUGGCCCCAGGCCCGAGUUGUAAUUUGCAGAGGAUGCUUUUGGCGCGGUGCCUUCCGAGUUCCCUGGAACGGGACGCCAUAGAGGGUGAGAGCCCCGUACGGUUGGGCACCAAGCCUUUGUAAAGCUCCUUCGACGAGUCGAGUAGUUUGGGAAUGCUGCUCUAAAUGGGAGGUACAUUUCUUCUAAAGCUAAAUAUUGGCCAGAGACCGAUAGCGCACAAGUAGAGUGAUCGAAAGAUGAAAAGCACUUUGAAAAGAGGGUUAAACAGCACGUGAAAUUGUUAAAAGGGAAGCGCUUGUGACCAGACUUGCGUCCGGUGAAUCACCCAGCUCUCGCGGCUGGGGCACUUCGCCGGCACAGGCCAGCAUCAGCUUGCCGUCGGGGACAAAAGCUUCAGGAACGUAGCUCCUCUCGGGGAGUGUUAUAGCCUGUUGUAUAAUACCCUUCGGCGGGCUGAGGUACGCGCUCCGCAAGGAUGCUGGCGUAAUGGUCAUCAGCGAC